GUGUUACAAUGGGGGGUACAGAGGGCCGCUACCACGCGAGUGGAUGCCAAUCCCCAAAACCUCUCUCAGUUCGGACUGGAGUCUGCAACCCGACUCCACGAAGCUGGAUUCGCUAGUAAUCGCGCAUCAGCCACGGCGCGGUGAAUACGUUCCCGGGCCUUGUACACACCGCCCGUCAAGCCAUGGGAGCCGGGGGUACCUGAAGUGCGUAACCGCGAGGAGCGCCCUAGGGUAAAACUGGUGACUGGGGCUAAGUCGUAACAAGGUACC
rnacentral:rRNA from 1 species